rnacentral:rRNA from 1 species
UACGUAGGGGGCAAGCGUUGUCCGGAUUUACUGGGCGUAAAGAGCGUGUAGGCGGCCACGCAGGUCCGUUGUGAAAACUGGAGGCUCAACCUCCAGCUGUCGACGGAAACCGUAUGGCUAGAGUCCGGAAGAGGAGAGUGGAAUUCCUGGUGUAGCUGUGAAAUGCGCAGAUAUCAGGAAGAACACCAAUGGCGAAGGCAGCUCUCUGGGACGGUACUGACGCUGAGACGCGAAAGCGUGGGGAGCGAACAGG